rnacentral:rRNA from 1 species
CGGUAGGUACUCGAGUGGCGAACGGGUGAGUAACACGUGGGUGAUCUGCCCUGCACUCUGGGAUAAGCCUGGGAAACUGGGUCUAAUACCGGAUAGGACCGCACUUUAGUGUGUGUGGUGGAAAGUUUUUUCGGUGUAGGAUGAGCCCGCGGCCUAUCAGCUUGUUGGUGGGGUAAUGGCCUACCAAGGCGGCGACGGGUAGCCGGACUGAGAGGUUGGUCGGCCACAUUGGGACUGAGAUACGGACCAG